AUCGCUUCUCGGCCUUUUGGCUAAGAUCAAAGUUUAGUUUCUGUUCUUAUCGAAUUAACCUUCGAUAGAGAUUCGAGUAUUCCAAUAGAUAAUGUCGCUGUCUCCAAUUUUU
rnacentral:snRNA from 1 species